GGCCACUCCCCGCCUCGGCUUCCGGGGCGCGUUGCCGGGUGCUGCCGGCCUCUCGGACCCCUCAGCGUUGGACCCGUCCGACCCCCGGGCGGGGCAGAGCGGUGGAGCGUAUAUUAACAUACAGGGCGUGGCUUUACCGUCCCGCCUCCUCUGCGGGCUGCGCGGCGCCGACCGCUUUUAGGUCUGAGAUUUACUUCUCCUUGGCGUUCCCUGCGCAGAGGGUUUUCACCGCCUGGCCUUUCUUCCGUAUCUCUCACUGACUGAGCACCAGCGUAGUCUAGACCCUGUGGGCGUUGGAUCGGGCCAGGCCGGACCACAGUCUUCUCAAAGCAGACAAAGCUGGAAUGCCGAGUCCCGGGCUCAAGCCUGCUCUGCUCCGGAGCCCAGGAGAGCCCCCAUCCCACCUAUGAGGUCAAGACCUCCAGCUGCAGACCUGUGUGUCUCUCGGUCGUCCCUGCAAUCACCAGACAGGCACUGUGGGUCCUCGCCAGUCUCCUCCAGGGUACCCUCGGGUGACCCUAUGAGGAAGACACCAUGAUCGUCCUCAUUUUGCAGACAAGGAACAGGCACAGGAAGACAGUCGGACUGACAGACGGGUGCUACUGUCCCCGGAGGCAAUGCACGGACAAUUUCCGGUCCUACCAAGCAUUGGCACGUCAAGCCUUUCACAAGGCUGCUACUCCAUGAAUCUUGGAUAAUUUCACUUAGGGCUGAAGUCAACACCAACCAAACACCUUGGAUGUCCUUCACAUGGUCACUACAGGUUCACAGAUUUUCACACCGCCCUGGCAACGUUUUAUUUUCACAUUCACGCAGAUGUUCCAGAGUGUCGGUCCGGUAAACUGGUUUUCAAAGCCAGUAACCAUCCUUCACAAGAUCAAAAAGGUAAAAUCACCCACACAACUAGUGUUUUUCUUCAAUCGGUAGCUUAUAAACUUUUGAUAAGACUUGGAUUGUGGAUGGGCUUCAGUGUGGACCAGAGCAGCGUUUGCUCCUGUCUCUUCUUAUGGACACAGGGCACCGGGACAGCGUGGGUGGCAGGAGCUUCGACAUCACUGAACAGGGAAGAGGAGAUCUGCAGCAGGAAUGGGCCACAGCUGGAACACUCCCUCAGUGCCCAGCCUUCCCCUGCGCCCUGCCCCAGCCACCCAUCAGGAUACAGAUUUACAGGGGAACUUCCUAACACUGUGUUUGUUUCCAGGAGCUCAUUCACUACCCUCCUCUGCAUUCCAACUGCUGGUGUGUGAGCAGUUAGGCGGUGUGGUGGACGCACAGUCUGUGAUGGGGGCUUUGGGCUGCUGGUUGGCACUGUCCUCAUGUCAUGUCAUUGGUCAAUGUGCCCACUCUAAAAUGUGGCUUUGCUUCCUUCGUCCCAAACACCGUGUUGACACAUUCCAUACCCAAACCAAAACCACCAGAGACUCCACCAGCCUGAGACCAGAAGAACUAGAUGGUGUCCGGCUACCACCAAUGAUCGCCCUGACAGGGAACACAAUAGAGAGUCCUGGACAGAGCAGGAGAAAAGUUUGGAAAACUCAAAUUCACAUAAAAAGACCAGACUUAAUGGUCUGAGAGACACUGGAGGAACCCCCUGAAACUAUGGCUCCUGGAUGCUCGGUUAACCCAGAACUAAAACCAUUCCUGAAGCCCACUAUUCAGACAAAGAUUAGACUGGACUAUAAAACAAAAAAUAAUACUCAUGAGGAGUGUGCUGCUUAGUUCAAACAGAUACACGAGAUCAAAUGGGCAGCUCCUGUCAGGAGGCAGGAUGAAAAGGCAGGAAGGGACAUGAACUGGUUGAAUGGACACAGGGAACCAGGAGUGGAAAAGCGGAGUGUGUUGUCGCAUUGUGAGGAUUGCAACUAAUGUCACAAAACAAUAUGUGUAUACAUUUUUGUAUGAGAAAUUAACUGGAACUGUUAACUUUCACCUAAAGUACAAUUAAAAAAAAAAUUCCAACUCAUGGGAACCCCACGUGUGUCAGGGUAGAACAGCUCCAUGAGGUUUUCACAGGCUGGUUUUUGGGAAGUAGAUUGCCAGGCUUUUCUUCCGAGGCACCUCUGAGUGGGUUCCAACCACCAACCUUUCUGUUAGUAGCCCAGCACUUAACCAUUUGUGCUGCCUAGGGACUCCAAAUUCCAUUGGUCUGCUAAAACGAGUGAGUCUGCAUUUGUGUGACACAUUUCAUUUUUAGCAAUGACUCAUACAACCUCAGACCCAGCUUCUCAAGCACCUUGGACACUAAUAUAACCCGGAUUAUAAUUUUUUUUUUAAUUUAACACCAGCAGAUUAUUUUUAAAAACCCACAAGCUUUUCUAACAUAGAUGUUUGGGUGAGGGAGAUACCCUGAGGGUUGCUUGGCACCCGGCUUCACUUGGUGAAAUUUUGACACAAAGGGGCCAUUGAGGCAUUUAGGCCGAGGAGGAGAACUAUCCAGGUACACGGAUCCAAAUGUGACAUGGUUGCUAGACUGCUUAGUUAGUGGCAAUUUUUUUUUGGAGCCAAUAUUAGCCUGUGAAUUUGAUGACACUCUGGAUUUAAUAAAAGGAAUUUAUAUCUGGAACAGAAAAGGGACAUUGGUGGAAAAACUGGGGAAAUCUGACUAGUCUGUAGGUUAGUUUAGAACAGCAUUGUACCAGCGACCAUUCUCUUGGUUUUGAUCAUUGUACCACAGUUACGUAGGAUAGUGACAUGAGGGGAAGCUGGGUAAAGAGCAUACGGAACUCUCUGUUCCAUUUUUGCAACUCUUCUAUAAACUUAAAAUUACUUCAAAAUAAAAAAUUAAAUUUAUUAAAUACAAAAUAGAUGUUGUUUGUUGUCGAGUUGACUCUGACUCACAGUGACCCUACAGCACCGAGCAGAACGGCCCGAUAGGGUUGUCUAGGCUGUAACUUUUUUUUUUAUUAAACUCUGAAACACAUGGGGUCACCAUGAGCUGGAGAUGACUCAACGGCAACUGAUUUUAUUGAGCCAUAGUUCACAUAUAAAAUUCAACUCCCUCCCCCCCCUUUUUUUUUAUUGUGCUUUAGGUGAAAGCUUACAUACAGCUCAAGUUAAUUUCUGGACUGUUCUGAGGGGUGACAUCUGUAAGCCCUGCACAGUCUUCUGCCCCAUUUGACCUUGGGGCCCCUGGAAGCGCCUGAGGAAGAAAAAAUAGACUGGGAGCCCUGGAGUUGAUACAAGACAGUCUUUAAUGCACACAAACUUGGCGGUACAGGCAAG